rnacentral:sRNA from 1 species
GCCAGGCACGGUGGCACAUCCCUGUGAUCCCAGCAGCCCAGGAGGCUGAGGCCGGAGGAUCACAAGUUUGAGGGAAGCCUCAGCAAUUUAGUGAGAUCCUGUCUCAA